UUCCGUUUCUCAAAAUAUUUGGAUUUGAAAUAUGGUUUUAUUAAUACUUCAUACAUGUAGUAGUUUUUUUGGUCCGUUUGCUCGCAAAGGUAGGUAAAACUAGCAAUUUUGUUAUUUCAAAUGAACUCUGCUUAAUUGCAUGUACAAAUGUGUGUGUCAUUCGAUUUUGAUCAUAACAUCUACAGAAAUGGUUUAAGGUCAGAACCCACAGCA
rnacentral:lncRNA from 1 species